GUCCGGUCGGUACACGAGUGGCGAACGGGUGAGUAACACGUGGGUGAUCUGCCCUGCACUUCGGGAUAAGCCUGGGAAACUGGGUCUAAUACCGGAUAGGACUCCUGGCUUCAUGGUUGGGGGUGUAAAGCUUUUGCGGUGUGGGAUGGGCCCGCGGCCUAUCAGCUUGUUGGUGGGGUAAUGGCCUACCAAGGCGACGACGGGUAGCCGGCCUGAGAGGGUGACCGGCCACACUGGGACUGAGAUACGGCCCAGACUCCUACGGGAGGCAGCAGUGGGGAAUAUUGCACAAUGGGCGCAAGCCUGAUGCAGCGACGCCGCGUGAGGGAUGACGGCCUUCGGGUUGUAAACCUCUUUCAAUAGGGACGAAGCGCAAGUGACGGUACCUAUAGAAGAAGGACCGGCCAACUACGUG
rnacentral:rRNA from 1 species